CAUUCAGAUUACUCCGAAGAAGUGGGCAGCAGUGAGACGAGGUCUUGAAGAUUAAUUAAGGUCAAUGGCUGAGAGCACUUCAGGCUGCCCCCGUCCUCCAGCAAUAGCAUCUGUCAUCCUGGAGGGCCCAGGCUGGGACCUCUACUUGUUCUAGACCUGCCAGAGAAGUCUGAGGUUCUCCUCGGGAGUGAGCCGGUGCUGCCUACGAUGGCUCCCGCUAAGGUGCUGUCCGAGAACCACGUGAAUGGAAGCUUUCUGGGCCAAACCCACGUCCUGUUUCCAGCCUCCUGGCUGCCUGCCCCUCCUUCGGCCCCUCUCUUUCUGCUUGGUAAUACUUCCUUCAAGCAAAAGAUAAAGAGCCUGCCACAGGGGAAGGCAAACUGUGCAGGCCUUGUAUUCAAAGGAAGGCUUUUGCAUUUUCUUGAAGAGGAACAAAACCCAGUGGAAUGAAGAUUGAUAUACAUUUAACAAAACAACACAAAUGCCUCCAAAUACAUUCUACCCGCUCAUCUCUUCAUUUUGAUCCUUCACCUGGACCCCUCAUUCUGCUCAGUGAGUAUCUUAGUCAUGACCUUGGGUGGGGCUCAGU
rnacentral:lncRNA from 1 species